UUUGCCUUGUGGAUCGAUUGACAAUUCCAGCAAAGGAAAAAAGUCUUUCCACUGGCGUAGAGGAAGGAAGAGGUGUGUUGUAUUUAAAAUUUUUUUUUUUAUAAUAGGAAAGCGGUGCAAAGCAUCAAUGCUUCUAUCAGCGUCAUUCAAGUACAAAGUUACUUCGGUUGCUACAGCUCCGCCUUGUAUACAUUGAUUUUCAUCUGAAAAAGGAAGUUAUUUACAAAAAUUUCGCAGGUUGGUUUCUUUAAAUCGAAUACCUGUGGACUCGUCAUCGAAUUCGAGAAAUGAUGUACUAGCACUUAUGGAUGGCUGUAAAGUAAAGGUUUAGUGAUAGUGCAUUUUUUUUCACUAUCACUAAAUAUUUAGUGGUAUUGCAAUUUGUUUUUCACUAUCACUAAAUAUUUAGUGGUAGUGCAAUUUGUUUUUCACUAUCACUAAAGGUUUAGUGGUAGUGCAAUUUGUUUUUCACUAUCACUAAGUGGUGCAAAUUAGUGGUAGUGCAAAAAUGCCCAACCCUGAUUUUCAAAAGAUGGUGUUUUAAGUUAAAAUUUUUUUUUAAGCUAAAUUUUCAGUGAUAGUGAAUUUUGCUGUUUAACUACCACUGAAGAAGUAGUGCUAGUGAAACCUUAUUGCAUUUAUUUUUUAGUGCACUAUGCCCAACCCUGGUUUUAACAGUGUUUGAUAUUGAGCAGAAAUAAAGUGUUUAUGCCUAAUACUCUCUAAAGCUGGACAGGUGCGUAAGAUGUGAUCCACGGAUAGUGUGUUGGAGCAGAAGGGGCAAGAUGACUUAGGAUUUCCGUUUUAGGUGAUACAUACAACUGUUAGGUGAAAAAAACUAUUAUGCUCCGUAGCAACAGGUUGCAAGAGUAUAAAAAAAGAUAUGACAGAAAAAGCAAAGUGGUCGAAAGAUGGAAUCGAUGUAAUGUAUUUAUAUAACGUGAAAUCUUCGAUCGAAAUGCCAAAGCUCAGGCUUUCAAUAAAAUAUGCCAAGUUUUUAAUUAUAAAAGAAAUGGAAGGACUUUAAAAAGGCGGAUCUGGCUUGAAUGAAAUUUUUACUUUAAAACUAUGGUGUUUCUCCCAUUUAAAUUUUCUGAUGUCACACAAUCAAGUAAGGAGCGGAGAAUCAAAUUACGAGGAUCGUGAUUCGUUGAAAUUUAUUCCGGAAUUUGAUUCAGUAUUAAGUCAAUGAAAUGAAACAACUAGUAUCCAAACAACUUCGGCAGAAGUUAUUUAUAUAGUUGAAAAUCAACAAAUCAUGAUUUGCUAAAUCAGAUAACCUAUUUCUAUAACUGAAAAUAAUACAAAACACUCAUUGAAAUCGGAUACAUAUUGGUGAUAUCAGCAAAUGUUUUUUGUGUGUGUGUGUUGCUUUGUUGGUUGGCUAUUGGGAUUUGUCUGUAAGAAGUGUUGUUCUUCAAAAUGCCACCAACGAGAGGAUUUAAUUUAUAUCGACGUUCAGCUGGUGCGCGAGCAGUGUCGACUCAUCAUGCGAAUAUGAGUCAAGAAAAUAGAAACAUUGCGCAACAACCAAUGCAAACUACGUCAAAAUUUGUGCGCAACAAACAGAAGCACAACAGAAGGCUGUAUUCUAUUCGCGUAGCUUGGCGCAACAAAGUCGUCGAGUAAAUCAAUGUGGAAAUUUAUCGGUGCAAAGUCGACAAAUGAAUACUGAAAAUAGACAACAAAGAAAAAGUGCGGGCAACGUCAAUUUGCUUCGAGUAGCAUUCCGAUAUGAUUGUGCAUUCGAUUAUCGAUCUCUUCCUGUCGUUGCUCAAUGAUUGUACUUUGUCCUCAUUGCAUUGCAUUGAAAUUUCCAGGAGAAACACCUAGACUGUGUUGCCUUAAUGGAAAAGUUAUAUUGCCAACAUUGCCAUCGCAACCGGAACCAUUUCGAUCGUAUCUAGAAGGCGUAACAACAGAAUCAAAUCUAUUUCUUGCAAAUGUUUAAAACUGUAAUACGAGUAAGUGCUUUCAAAUGACUUUUUUUCGCUGCAUAAAUUAUCAAUGAAAGCGGAUAUAAUGCGUCGUUCAAGAUUCAAGGUGGCGAAUACAAUUUCUUGCAAAUCUAUUUCAUUGGGAUCGAGAGCAAUCAAAUAAACCAUCGGAGUGUAUUGUACAACAGAAUGAAAGAAGACAUCAUCAGAGAAUUGCAACCAGCGGCGUAGCUACAACUUCGGGCACCCGGGGCCAAGGAUGUACUGCCGCCCCUCUUUAUCUACCUACCUCAUGAGGUGGUUCGAACAAAAGUUAAUUUUUACAAAAUACCUUCGAUAUUAAGUAUAUAAAAUUUAGGAACUAGAAGCCACGCAAAUUCUGAAGUUCCAAAAUUCUCACAAUACGGUUUUUGAGGAAAUUGAUAGUAAAUUUACGAGACAUCUUAUUAAAAGCCAUAGAAAAACCAAAUUCAAAGACUGAAGAGUAUUCGAGUAAAAACUAAUACUUUUCAUUGUUAUUCAGAUUAUUACAUUGUGAGUGUACAACUCUUUAUCUUUUAUGAUAAAUUUUGUAAAAGAAUUUGUUGAAGUAUUUUUCUGAAUAUUAAAACACAGCGAAGAUCGUUUUGCCGCCCCCAAGACGUUGCGCCCGGGGCAACGGCCUCAAAAUAUAAUAAUACAUUAACUAAACUAAUUUUUAUAUAUUAAUAUUAAAUACAUGCCAUGUUGUCCUGAAUCCAUUAAAAAUAUUUUCAAGAAUUCCGUCAAGCAAUAAAAAAACCACUUGCAAUUUCGAGAACAAUGAAGAGUUUCGCGAAUAAGCACGUGCGUUCUGAAGGAAGUCUAGGUUCCGACUACUUGUGUGGCAAUAUAGCGGCCCGAAGGUCAUUCAUUUAAUCGGUUCAUUGUAGAAUGGUUAUUUAGGUACCAAAAAAAAUCAAUUUUGAGUACCAUCGCUGAAGUUUGUAAUUUUCAAUUUUGUCCGGUUUUUGAGGGUAAAUGCUCCUAUGUGCGACGAAGCAAUGGACAAUUGCAACGUAUUAGUGAGACACAUUGGUCGUAUGAUGCACUUCAGUAUCCGCUCAUGUUUUGGGAAAGAGAGGACGGCUACCACUUUAACAUCAAAAUGUUAAAUCCAGUUACUUGUUAAUAGACUUCUUCCUUCAAUCAUGUCACCAAAUCAAUCAAUUAAAUGGAAUCUUAACUUAAUUUACAAACUUUGUAUUUAUUUGGUACUUUGGAUUCAUUUGUUAUUAGGUGAAGAAACGAAGAAAGUAAGUUCUAUGCAUAUCGUUUAAUGAUUCGUCAAAAUGAGGUUAGGAUGUCGCCGAUUGCUUCAACAAUUCUGCGUGGAAAUGUAUAUAAAAAUCUAGACUGAACGGCUCAAUUACAUUCUUUUUAUUUAACCGAAAUUGCGUUCAGAAGAGUACAUUCAUUUGCGGGAUGGAAUAAGAACUGAAGGUGAUGCAAGGAAUCUUGGUCGACUAACAAUCUUACCGGCAACGUAUGUUGGCAGUCCACGCCACAUGCACGAGUAUGCUCAAGAUGCGAUGGCGUUUGUUCGACAGUACAGUCGUCCAGAUUUAUUUGUCUCCUUCAGUUGCAACUCAAUUUGGCUUGAUAUUCAGCGCAAUUCCCGGACAAACAUCGAGUGAUCGACGUGAUAUCACUGCACUGAAGGUUCUAAUGUAUUUCGUUAUUAAACAACGUGUAUUUGGAGAGGUUCGAUGCUGGAUGUAUGCUGUUGAAUGGCAGAAGAGAGGACUGCCGUACGUGCAUAUUCUACUUUAGUUCGUUGAAAAGAUUCGACCAGACGAAAUCUAUGCUGUCAUUUGCGCAGAGAUACCGGAUGCAGAAAUUGAUCAAGAAUUAUAUGAUAUAGUCAUCAUGAAUAUGAUUCACAGACCGUAUGGAACAAUAACAUGGCUAACGGCAAGUGUUUUAAACGCUACCCACAUCCUUUCACUGCGGAAACUAUUAUCGCCAACGACGUAUGUAUAUUCACUUUAUUGACGUCUUUCACCUGAUGAUAAUGACAGUUACAUUGAAAUUGAAACAAAAUGGUGUUGUGGUCGAUAACAAUUGGAUUGUUCCACAUUCACUACUACUUUGCACAACAUUUUAUGCGCAUAUCAAUGUGGGGGACUGCAAUUCGAUUAAAUUAUGCCGAUGAUGAACGAACACGGUAUCAAAUUGUUUUCUCGUAAAUGGCGAAUUCAUUUUUUUUUUUUACCGAAACUCACUUUUAUAAAAGAAUAACGCAA